rnacentral:lncRNA from 1 species
CUUUGGGGUCCCUUUGCUCAUUUUGGGGUCUCUCUACUCCAUUUUGGGGUCCCCUCUGCCCCAUUUUGGGGUCCUUCUCCUUUUUUUGGGGUCCCUUUCCUCAUUUUGGGGUCCCUGUACCCCAUUUUGGGGUCCCCCUGCCCCAUUUCGGGCUCCCUUUCCCCAUCACAAGGUUUCCUGCUCCAUUUUGGGGUCCCCCAGGCCCAUUUUGGGGUGUUUCUGGACUGUUUCGGGGUCCCCCGGCCCCGUUUCGGGGUGUCACUGUCCCUGUUUCGGGGUCCCCCGGCCCCAUUUCAGGGUGUCCCCGUCCCUGUUUUGGGGUCUCCGUCCCAGUUUUGGGGUCCCUUGUCCCCACUCACCCUGCCUGGACCUUCUCGCGCAGGAGCCGCUCGGCUCACGCUCCCCCGGCCCCAUUUCGGUGUCCCCAGCCCCAUUUUGGGGUCCUUCCUGCCCGUUUCGGGGUCCCCGUCCCCGUUUCGGGGUGUCCCCAUCCCUGUUUUGGGGUGUCCCCAUCCCCGUUUCGGGGUGUCCCCGUCCCCGCUCACCCCGCCUGGACCUUCUCGCGCGUCAGCGACUCGAUCAUCUUGGUGCCCAGGUCGUAGAUGGUCUCCAUCUCCGUCGUCUUCAGCGUCAGCUUGCCCACCUUGGCGCCCUGCGGGGACGUCACCGCCCCGUGUCCCCCCCCUGCCACCGCCCUGGGUGCCCUGCCACCUCCCCGGGUCCCCUGCCACCGCCCCGGGUCCCCUCUGUCCCCCCUGCCGCCGCCCCGCGUCCCUUGUGUCCCCUGCUAGUGCCCUGGGCCUCCUCUGCCACCACCUCCAUGUCUCCCUGCCACCUUCAUGUCCCCCACGUCCCCCCAGCCACCUCCGUGUCCCCAUGUCCUCCCUCCCCGGGCCACCUCCAUGUCCUUUCCAGCCACCUCCGUGUCCUCUCCGGCCACCUCUAUGUUCCUACAUCCCUCUUGUCACCUCCGUGUCCCUGUGUCUUUCCCAAACACCUCCGUGUCCCUGUGUCCCCCCUGGCCACC